UACGAAGGGGGCUAGCGUUGUUCGGAAUUACUGGGCGUAAAGCGCGCGCAGGCGGCCAUCCAAGUCAGUGGUGAAAGCCCGGAGCUCAACUCCGGAACUGCCAUUGAAACUGUUUGGCUGGAGUAUGAGAGAGGUGAGUGGAAUUCCCAGUGUAGAGGUGAAAUUCGUAGAUAUUGGGAAGAACACCGGUGGCGAAGGCGGCUCACUGGCUCAUUACUGACGCUCAGGCGCGACAGCGUGGGGAUCAAACAGG
rnacentral:rRNA from 1 species